CGAUUCCGGCUACGGAUGGUCAUGCGUCGCAUUAGCUUGUUGGCGGGGUAACGGCCCACCAAGGCGACGAUGCGUAGGGGUUCUGAGAGGAAGGUCCCCCACACUGGUACUGAGACACGGACCAGACUCCUACGGGAGGCAGCAGUGAGGAAUAUUGGUCAAUGGCCGCAGGGCUGAACCAGCCAAGUCGCGUGAGGGAUGACGGUCCUAUGGAUUGUAAACCUCUUUUGUCAGGGAGCAAAGGGCGCCACGUGUGGCGUUUUGCGAGUACCUGAAGAAAAAGCAUCGGCUAACUCCGUGCCAGCAGCCGCGGUAAUACGGAGGAUGCGAGCGUUAUCCGGAUUUAUUGGGUUUAAAGGGUGCGCAGGCGGAAUGUCAAGUCAGCGGUAAAAUUUCGGGGCUCAACCCCGUCGUGCCGUUGAAACUGGCGUUCUUGAGUGAGCGAGAAGUAUGCGGAAUGCGUGGUGUAGCGGUGAAAUGCAUAGAUAUCACGCAGAACUCCGAUUGCGAAGGCAGCAUACCGGCGCUCAACUGACGCUCAUGCACGAAAGCGUGGGUAUCGAACAGGAUUAGAUACCCUGGUAGUCCACGCAGUAAACGAUGAAUACUAACUGUCCGGGCAGAAUGAUGCCUGG
rnacentral:rRNA from 1 species